rnacentral:misc_RNA from 1 species
GAAAUGCGAUAUUAAUGGGAAUUGCAGGAUUCAGUGAAUCAUCGAGUCUUUGAACGCACAUUGCGCCCCCUGGUAUUCCGGGGGGCAUGCCUGUCCGAGCGUCAUUGCUGCCCUCAAGCACGGCUUGUGUGUUGGGCUUCCGUCCCUGGCAACGGGGACGGGCCCAAAAGGCAGUGGCGGCACCAUGUCUGGUCCUCGAGCGUAUGGGGCUUUGUCACCCGCUCCCGUAGGUCCAGCUGGCAGCUAGCCUCGCAACCAAUCUUUUUAACCAGGUUGACCUCGGAUCAGGUAGGGAUACCCGCUGAACUUAAGC